rnacentral:lncRNA from 1 species
GGCAGGGAACAAUGACACUGGAGUGCGCGUCCACGAGAGGUCUCCAUGUUUUUGAACGAAUACAACGUCGCCCGGUUGGAAUAUUAUCGCAAUUUUACGAGAAAAAUCGCAUAAAAAUUGAUUUUAAACAGCGUUUGACAUGCUUCUAAGUACGGUAAUGGAAUAUUUUGAAACAACAUUUGUUGUUGAAGUAGAAGCCCUGGGAGUGCAUUCUGACGAAGAACAACAAAGGAAUCUACAUCUGAAGGCCUGGUACAAGCAAAACAUCUCUCCAACUACAGACGCCAGUGUCUCAGGACCGUAUUUUUAAACAGGUCAAAGGAUGUGCCAUGGGAGCUUGCUACAGCCCUUCCUACGCUGGUUUGUACUUGGAUUGGAAUGUCCACAGUGCAAGGUGUUCUACAUUGGACGGACAAAGAGACGCCUUCAAGACCGCUUAGCGGAACACAAGUACGCCAUACAGCCACCCUCAGUGUUCCUCUGGAGAAGCCUUGGAUGAAUGAGACUGAGGGCAAUCACCCUAGUACCACCACCUCACUGAAGAACGAAGAAGGCAAGACUGUACAGUACCAGGGUCUAAAAGAGAGAGGUGACAUGAAUGAGUAGCGCCGAUGGCAGGUGGGUCACGAGAGAAAUCAAAG